rnacentral:rRNA from 1 species
AGAGUUUGAUCCUGGCUCAGAUUGAACGCUGGCGGCAUGCCUUACACAUGCAAGUCGAACGGCAGCGCGGGGGCAACCCUGGCGGCGAGUGGCGAACGGGUGAGUAAUAUAUCGGAACGUGCCCUGGAGUGGGGGAUAACUAGUCGAAAGACUAGCUAAUACCGCAUACGAUCUGCGGAUGAAAGUGGGGGACCGCAAGGCCUCACGCUCCAGGAGCGGCCGAUAUCUGAUUAGCUAGUUGGUGGGGUAAAAGCUCACCAAGGCGACGAUCAGUAGCUGGUCUGAGAGGACGACCAGCCACACUGGGACUGAGACACGGCCCAGACUCCUACGGGAGGCAGCAGUGGGGAAUUUUGGACAAUGGGGGAAACCCUGAUCCA